GGAGGUGGAGAUGGAGGAGGAGGUGGUGGUGGUGGUUGAGGUGGAGGAGCAUCCUAAUAACUUUCAUGGAGUUAUUUUCUAUGGAAAAGAUUAAGAUUUCUCAUGUUACUUCGUGAGUGUUGUUAUGCAUGAUUGUUGUUUCCUUGUCAAUUAUUUUCAUGGUCAUAUUCACUUGUGGUGAUAGUAAUUUAGGUCAAGGUCAUCACCGUCGCUGCAAUGAUAAUGAUGUAGGUGAUUGUUUUAGUGGAGGUGAUUGCCAUGGUGGAGAUGGAUAAGUUGGUGGUUGUGCUGGAGGUGGUAGUAGAGGUGGAGAAGCAUCCAUAAAACUUCUGUAGAGUUAUUUCUAUGGAAAAGAUUAAGAUUUCUCAUGCUUUCUGGAGCAUUAUUGUUAGUUUACACAUCUAUUAUUCAUUUUGUGCGUUCACAUAAUAAAACAUAUCUCUUUAAC